rnacentral:rRNA from 1 species
UACGAAGGGGGCUAGCGUUGCUCGGAAUCACUGGGCGUAAAGGGCGCGUAGGCGGACUUUUAAGUCAGGGGUGAAAUCCUGAGGCUCAACCUCAGAACUGCCUUUGAUACUGAGGGUCUCGAGACCGGUAGAGGUAAGUGGAACUGCGAGUGUAGAGGUGAAAUUCGUAGAUAUUCGGAAGAACACCAGUGGCGAAGGCGACUUACUGGACACAUAUUGACGCUGAGGUGCGAAAGCGUGGGGAGCAAACAGG